AAACCGAAAAAGAUGUUUCAUUUGAUGAAAUAAGUUUACAAGGAUCAAGUUUCAAAUGCUACAAACAUCUCCCACCCAAGCUCAAGCCCAAAAGAAACAAAUAUAGAGAGACUUAAACUAAUCAGCUCAGACCCGAUUUUUAUCUUCAACAGUAGCCGGCAAGCUUCUUCCAUUAUUGGCAACACUCCACUGGCCUCCAAAAAGUAAAGCUUGGCAAAAACUCGAAUCAUACAGGGGAGACCGAAAACAUAAUCACCUCAAACAAAUCAAAAUCUCGCCUACUUCCAAUACUGAUAGACCCAGAUGGACAAAUAGAUUUGCAACAAACAUCGGCUUAGAAUAGGGACUUGAGCACUUGACGAAUCAGGAAAAGGUUUGGCACUUACAGAACCUUGCAUGACGUCCUGACAGCAACGUGUCCUCAUCGACACCAAACCUCCCGCUACUGCCAAUCCAAUUGCUCCACCACAACCACUUCAAAGGGGGAACUUCUGCUUUUGCCUCAAUUUACAAAGGGGGGUGCUCCUGAACUGGCUCUUUUAGAACAAUAUGAACCUAACCGCCGCCUGCAGUCUGGUUCUCAAACUUGCAUCUUUGUCAUCUCUUGCCUGCCAACUGCACUUCAUAAUCAAAAAAUUCAGAAAGCCCUUUUUUAUCAGGAGCAACGAUUACAAGUCCGGAAUUCCUGGAUAUGGCAUCAUGCUCUAUACAGACACCAGAACUCAAGGUGGUAGCCUGAGCCCAGAAUGAGUAUUAAGGAAAUAAUCAUAAGCAUCUACUAUAUCCAAGCAAGUGAUCCCCGAUCAUUAUUUGUUACUGGAGGACGACCUCUAGUUGGUGUAGGAGGCCUGUUAGCAUUCAACUCCUGCAUCCACGUAUCUUCAACGUGGCGUUCAGGUGAAGUUUCAGGCGAUGAGAUGGCUGGUGGUAAAGGAUGAAUUAGUUUUGGAACCACCACAAGAUCUCUUCCCAAAACUAAUAUAGCCCCUGCAUUAUUAGCAGUACCACAGUAAUUGGUAGCAGAGAAAAGCGUGAUUAGAUGUCCCUGGGCAAAACGCUCAAAGCCAUCCAUCACGCAUUCAUGGGCACGUACGAUCAACUGCAAAUCGUUGUUGUUGCAGAAUUCCAUUACUCGAUCCGGCCCAAAAGUCACCAGCCCUGGACCUCUAGCAUUUGGCCUCAACCCUUCCACACUAUCAUUUUCUGUUGGAUCCGACCAUAACAAAUCCAUCAGCACGAUCGAGCCUGCUUCCAUACUAAUUGGACGCUGAAGAUUCUCAAUCUGUUCCACAUGAUUUAUUGAGCGACCAAUACCACCAUGCAUACAAAUGAUUUUCUUUUCAAUUAGUGCUGCCAAAGGAAGCCAAUUGAACAAACGAUUUAUUCGAUGCCAAACCCAAAUUCCAUCUCUCUCCCCCAUGCGCUCAAUGCAUUCAAUCCGGAAGCCAAAAAGGGCAUUGAUAUCUGCAGCUUCAUGGUUCCCACGAAUUAAAUGAACAUUAUGGGGAUAUUCAACCUUCAAAGCAAGCAGAAGAGUAAUGGUCUCCAGACUGUGCUGACCUCGGUCAACAUAAUCUCCUAAGAAAAGAUAAUCGAUAUAUGCUAUAUCACCAGCUGUUGAAGGUGCACCAUACUCAUCAAAAAGGCGCAUGAGAUCCCCAAAUUGCCCAUGCAAAUCACCGAAUAUCUUGAUUGGAGCCCUAAGCUGUAAAACACUUGGCUCACUUGAAAAUAUCCUUUCAGCACUGUCACAAAGAUCCGCAAUUUCAUUGCAAUCCAAGAAAAAUUGACGACGAACUGGAGGCUUCCAACCACGAGGCUUUAAAAGAUGUGCUACAACCUUUUUGGGCACACUAUUGAUGGACAUCUGUCGAUCUAGUAGUUUCCUAGCUGCAGUUGCACUCUCUGGGGUCCCAUAGCUGACCCGCCUGCCUUCAUUUUCAAACUGAUCAAUUGAAAGCUGUCUGACCAUCCCACCUAAAGCUCCACCAGUCUCUGCAGCUACAACAACAGCUCUGUGAUGCAACCGAACUCCAGCAGGAGCAAUGUUAUUUGAUCCAGCAGAAUCAGGCUUAAUCAAAGUAGAUAUCUGUUUGCCACUUGGGGUAGCCUCUGCACCGCGGUCCCUGUCUGGCAGUUCAACUUCUCCAUUAACUUGCCGUGCCUUGGCAGCAGCCAAAGUGGCACUAAUAGCCUCAGCUUCUGCAGCAGAUGCUUCAACCAAAUACUCCACACCUUUGCUUGUUCUCCUAGAUCCGGGCAGCAUGGCAUUUUCAGUGCUUAUAUCAGUGUACAUAUCACCAUUUAUAGGAGGAGCAACUGGAUUACCCAGUACAACCCCACCAUCAGGUACUGCUUCAGGCAUUGCUUGCCUAGUUUUUUCAUCGACAAAUCCAUAUCUUCCAGCUAUCUUCCCUGCAAGUACAUUAGAUGCAGCAGCUGCAGCUGCUGCAUGAGAAGCUGCAGUUGUUGUUUCAGCAGCAGCUAGAUCUUCAGCAACAAGUAGAUCAUCAAGCAACACCCCACCACGCAAACCACCAUAAAUAAAUAUCAAGUCACCAACAGCAGCAGCUGCAUGC
rnacentral:misc_RNA from 1 species